UACAGAGGGGGCAAGCGUUAUUCGGAAUUAUUGGGCGUAAAGGGUGCGUAGGUGGCGCGGUAAGUCGGGUGUGAAAUUUCGGAGCUUAACUCCGAAACUGCAUUCGAUACUGCCGUGCUUGAGGACUGGAGAGGAGACUGGAAUUUACGGUGUAGCAGUGAAAUGCGUAGAGAUCGUAAGGAAGACCAGUGGCGAAGGCGGGUCUCUGGACAGUUCCUGACACUGAGGCACGAAGGCCAGGGGAGCAAACGGG
rnacentral:rRNA from 1 species